UACAGAGGGUGCGAGCGUUGUCCGGAAUCACUGGGCGUAAAGGGCGCGUAGGCGGCUUGGUAAGCGUGCGGUGAAAGCCCGGGGCUCAACCCCGGGUCGGCCGUGCGAACUGCUGGGCUGGAGCACUGUAGAGGCAGGUGGAAUUCCGGGUGUAGCGGUGGAAUGCGUAGAGAUCCGGAAGAACACCGGUGGCGAAGGCGGCCUGCUGGGCAGUAGCUGACGCUGAUGCGCGACAGCGUGGGGAGCAAACAGG
rnacentral:rRNA from 1 species